rnacentral:lncRNA from 1 species
AAAGUCUCUAGAAUCACCAGCACAAUUUAUUGAAGCAUUCAGCUGAUGAACAAUAAACAAACAUAAGGAUCAAAACAUUCAGUUAUUAUGUCAAUAUAAGCCUUUCUGUUACGAAUAAUAUUCUUAAUAAAUUCAUAAUUAGUAAUAAAAUAGCCUUCUAAUUCUUACAAAAGGAGUUUGGUAUUAGAUUUCAAUGCCUGCUUGCAAUGCAUUCAAUUGUACUUUAAGAACGGCGGCUUUUUCUAGAUGCCCAGAGCACGAUCUUGCUAGUAAAUCGUUGAAAAAAAAAUUUAAACUCAACCACAAUAAUGGGAAAAUAAGCUUUUUUCCAUUUCCUAAAAAUCCAGCGCUUCUAAAACAAUGGAUAGGGAAAUACUGUCGUCAAGAUUGGAAACCAACCAAAUGGUCAAGAAUCUGUUCUAAGCACUUCAAGGACUCUGACAUCAUCAAGUACAAAGUUAAGGGCAUGCUUGUUGAUGGAGUAGUUCUCUCAAUUUUCCAGUUUCCAAUGCACUUAAAAAAAAGUAGAGUCCCAUCGACGAAUCUUAAAGCGAAGAACCUAUGAAGAAGACAGUACUAUAAAAAGGAAUUCUAAUGGCAUGUUUGAAAAAAAGUCAAUUGUAAAUAUUGUCAUUGAUCCUACACAUGCUCUACCUAGUACUAUGGAAUCCUUGGGGUAGGUGACAAAAAGAGACAUUAUGAUUCUUUCGGAAAAAAAUGAACUUCUUUCAACACAUUUAAAGUCUUUAAAAAUUAAAUUAUUUGUCAAAGCAAACAAAGGCUUCAGAAGCGGAUAACCAAUGUUAAAGAUUUAUGUCAACAUUUAAAAAAAAAAAUGGUUUCUAGAUUAAGUGAUGAAGUUCUGUCUACUAUAACAUCCAACUUUCCAAAGAGCUCUUUCAUCGUAUGAUCCAUAAUAAAAAAAUGGGAAAUACAACAAGAAAAAAAUUAAAGCAAUUUGCAUUGACUUUACAAUUUUUCUCUCAGAAGGAUUAUGAUUAUGUUCUAAGGACUUUCAACAUGGCAUUGCUACAUCUUUCUGUCAUUAGAACCUGGUAUGGAUCGAUUGAUGGUUCUCCUGGCUUUACUCUAGAAUCAUUUGAAGUAUUAAGAAUACGAGUUCAGCAACAAGAAAGCGCCAACGGGGAAAAAAUAUAUUGCAACCUCACUCUAGAUUAAAUGAGUAUAAAGAAAAUGAUUGAGUUUGAUGGCAGUAAGCACCAUGUGUACGUGGAUAUUGGCACAGGAGUGUCCGACGAUUCAAUGCUCCCUGCUACAGAGGUUCUUGUAGUGAAGGUGGUUGCAAUCAAUGGGAGUUGGAAAAUACCUUUUGGAAACUUUAUGAUCUAUGUAUUAUCAGGCAAAGAAAAGACAAAUUUGGUCUGUACGGCUUUGAGUAAAGUGUAUGAUACGGGUAUAAUCAUUCCUAGUAUAUGAUGUGAUGGACUUUCUUGUAACUUUGCUAUAUUUAUCGUCCUCGGAGCUGUUCUCUGUCCAAAUAAUAUGGAAACUACGUUUCCUCAUCCUUCCAAUUCUGAAAUCAAGAUAGAAGUUAUAUUUGAUAUUUGCCAUGUGAUGAAGCCGUGAGGAAUACAUUUGCAUUCUUUGGUGUUAUGAAAAAUCAAAAAGGAGAGGAGAUUCGUUGGAGCUUUAUCAAUGAACUGUACUUAUUACAGAAACAUGAAGGUCUGAGAGCUGGAACGAAGUUGCGAAAAGCUCACAUUGAAUGGAGAAGAAUGAAAAUCAAAGUAAAUUUGGCAUGCCAAACACUUUUGAGAAGUGUAGCAGAGGCUUUGGACAUGCUGUCAAAGGAUUUUCAAAACAAAACUUUUCUAACUGUACGGCUUCAGUAGAGUUUAUUAGAAUAUUUUACGCCUUAUUUGACAUUUUUAACUCUCGAAAUAUAUUAGGAAGCUCAACUAAAGCCCCAUUAAGAAGAUCCAACUAUGAUUAUUGGUGCCUUCGCUUGGAAUACGACUAUAUAAAAGAAUUAAAAACUUGCAGUGGUCAAAAAGUUGUUAAUACAAAGCAAAAAACAAGAAUUUUUUAUUGUAAUUCAGAGUUUUAUACACUUAUAGAAACAAAUUAACUAAAAUAUAUUCCAACAUACAAAUUCAGUCAAGAUGACUUGGAACUUUUCUUCUCUGCAAUUCACUCUGCCAACGGGCAUAAUAAUAAUCCUUCCGUAAGACAGUUUUCCUCCGCUUAUAAAAGAUUGAUUAUUCAACAUGUGAUUAAAGCAGGAACGAGAAGAAAUUGCUUAAGUCAAGAUAACACCACCUUUCUAUCUUCCCAGGGAAACAAAGGAAGCUACCAGAUAAAUAGCAACCAUAUGGAAUUUAUUCGUAAAUAUGGCUUAAUUGAUAAAGGUCCCUUGCAGAUCGACCAUGACAACAACAAAGUGCCUAAUCCUAAUUCAUGGAUAGCAAUUUCGGACUAUAAAAGAGUGGUCAUCACUUACAUUGCAGGAUUUGUAGUAAAAAAUUUGGGAAAAAACAAUCUAUUGUGAAAAAUGCAUUGAAUCUUUGUGGUGUCUUGACAAAAAAUUCAGGAUCGAUUAUGCCUUGAUAAAACAAAAAGAUUGCUUCGCAUAAAACAGCGCUAACCCAUCCUUCUGAAGGAUGUAAUUGAAGUUUGUCUAGAAACUGGAAAGAUGUUUGAAAGACUUUUAAAUUCUACAAAACGGGCUUUGCCGAAAGAUUCCAGCCUGACUCUUACAAUAAGCAUUACAGUUUUGAAAAAUAUUGGCUUUCGUAAAAAUUAAGUCUUUCAAUGCCUUAAUGAGCAUAUAUUUGAUUCAUCUCCAGAAUCUAAUCAUGUAUUUUCCCUUAUAAAAGCAAUUUCUCAAUGUUAUGCAAGUAUAAAACUGUAUCACUUGGGAAAGCUAGAAACUGAGACUGUAGAAGGAACCAAGAUUCGUAGUGUCCUCACGAAUCUUAUACAGUUUAAGAAUCUAUAAUUUGAAAAAUAUCAAUGAUAUGUAGAAAGAAUUAAUUUUAUUAGUAUAUAAUAUGUUUUAGAAUAAAUCAUACUUCAUU